GCGGGCUUCGGCCUGGCGACGAGUGGCGAACGGGUGAGUAGAACAUCGGAACGUAUCUUUGCAGUGGGGGAUAGCCCGGCGAAAGCCGGAUUAAUACCGCAUACGCUCUUUGGAGGAAAGCGGGGGACCGUAAGGCCUCGCGCUGUUGGAGCGGCCGAUGCCGGAUUAGCUUGUUGGUGGGGUAAAGGCCUACCAAGGCGACGAUCCGUAGCUGGUCUGAGAGGAUGAUCAGCCACACUGGAACUGAGACACGGUCCAGACUCCUACGGGAGGCAGCAGUGGGGAAUUUUGGACAAUGGGGGCAACCCUGAUCCAGCCAUGCCGCGUGCGGGAAGAAGGCCUUCGGGUUGUAAACCGCUUUCAUACGGAACGAAAUGGCCCGGGAGAAUAUUCCGGGUUGCUGACGGUACCGUAAGAAGAAGCACCGGCUAACUACGUGCCAGCAGCCGCGGUAAUACGUAGGGUGCGAGCGUUAAUCGGAAUUACUGGGCGUAAAGCGUGCGCAGGCGGCUCUUUAAGACAGGUGUGAAAUCCCCGGGCUUAACCUGGGAAUUGCGCUUGUGACUGGGGAGCUCGAGUGCGGCAGAGGGGGAUGGAAUUCCUGGUGUAGCAGUGAAAUGCGUAGAUAUCAGGAGGAACACCGAUGGCGAAGGCAGUCCCCUGGGUCGACACUGACGCUCAGGCACGAAAGCGUGGGGAGCAAACAGGAUUAGAUACCCU
rnacentral:rRNA from 1 species